rnacentral:rRNA from 1 species
CUUGCUGUUUCGCUGACGAGUGGCGGACGUUUUAGUAAUGUCUGGGAAACUGCCUGAUGGAGGGGGAUAACUACUGGAAACGGUAGCUAAUACCGCAUAACGUCGCAAGACCAAAGAGGGGGACCUUCGGGCCUCUUGCCAUCGGAUGUGCCCUGAUGGGAUUAGCUAGUAGGUGGGGUAACGGCUCACCUAGGCGACGAUCCCUAGCUGGUCUGAGAGGAUGACCAGCCACACUGGAACUGAGACACGGUCCA